rnacentral:tRNA from 1 species
AGCGCAGUAGGGGAGCCGGGUCGCCCCCCCCGGGCCUCAUAAGCCCGAGAUCGCCGGUUCGAAUCCGGCCUGCGCCACCA